CGCAGAGCGCCGGGAGAUUUCCUGAAGCUCCGAAAUCACUGGGGCAUUUUUUCUAAAUAGAUGCUAUCUUUAAUAACUGAUGGAGGUUUUGAGCUUUAUACACACGCAGUUUUGAGGGAUUUAACACGAAUUAAUAAGUCCGAGCAGACCUACAUGAAAGGUGAGAAGUGAGUAACUGAGCGCGCUGUCACAUUGUAUAUACUGUACAGAUCGUACCAUAACAAACAUUAUUUGCUUGAAUUAUCCAGAAUGUUCUAAUUUGAAAUAGAAAUGAAAAUGUCUAUAAAAGUGAACCAAAAUGCCAUGUACCUGUUAUAAUCUGCAAUUGUUGCUUUGCAGCUUUCCCAAAGAAGACAAUUACAUCCUCGUAGCUAGGGGGCAGUCAUCAUGCGCAGGGCCCGGAACAAAUAAAGGACACCAACAGAAUAAAAUGGAGCAUUGCUUAAGUUCCUGUCACCACCACCACCACCUCAGGGAAAUACCCCAGUCCAUCCUUCUGACAGUGAAAAUGUACCAUCCACCUUGACACUGCAACAACAAUUACCUGGUAAUGAAGACGAAAUGCCAUUCACAUCAUCCACUUGCAGCAUUAUUGAUGUUCUUGACAAAUGUACUACAAGUUGCCUAUUGUCUGAUGACUGGCCAAAGAUUUUAAAUGAUCAUGAGCGCUGUGAAAUUGUGAAAAAAAGGCCCAGUCCAAGUAACCGAUGCAGUGUUUCCACAAAACAAUGAAACAGUUCCUCGAUGAUUCACAAAAGACAAUUAUGAGAUUGUAAUGAAAAAUGGAGAGAAAAUCAAAAGAUCAUGGCUUAUACAGUAUACUCUA